UACAGAGGGUGCGAGCGUUGUCCGGAAUCACUGGGCGUAAAGGGCGCGUAGGCGGCCUGAUAAGUAGGGGGGUGAAAUCCUGUGGCUUAACUGCAGGGCUGCCUCCUAGACUGUUAGGCUCGAGCACGGUAGAGGCAGAUGGAAUUUCCCGGUGUAGCGGUGGAAUGCGUAGAGAUCGGGAAGAACAUCGGUGGCGAAGGCGGUCUGCUGGGCCGUUUGCUGGACGCUGAGGCGCGACAGCGUGGGAGCAAACAGG
rnacentral:rRNA from 1 species